rnacentral:rRNA from 1 species
GAGUUUGAUCGUGGCUCAGAUUGAACGCUGGCGGCAUGCCUUACACAUGCAAGUCGAACGGCAGCAUGAUCUAGCUUGCUAGAUUGAUGGCGAGUGGCGAACGGGUGAGUAGUACAUCGGAACGUGCCCUGUAGUGGGGGAUAACUAGUCGAAAGAUUAGCUAAUACCGCAUACGACCUGAGGGUGAAAGUGGGGGACCGCAAGGCCUCAUGCUAUAGGAGCGGCCGAUGUCUGAUUAGCUAGUUGGUGGGUAAAGGCCCACCAAGGCGACGAUCAGUAGCUGGUCUGAGAGGACGAUCAGCCACACUGGGACUGAGACACGGCCCAGACUCCUACGGGAGGCAGCAGUGGGGAAUUUUGGACAAUGGGCGAAAGCCUGAUCCAGCAAUGCCGCGUGUGUGAAGAAGGCCUCGG